GAGCAUGUCCCUGAGGAAAUGGGCGGGGGCUGAGGCUUGGUGAGUGAGGCGGAAUACUCAAGCCUGGUGCCGGGGAGGAGAGCCUGGCAGACAGAGCUCUGGGUAGAGUCUGGGUAGAGGGACCUGUGGUGGGAGAAAGAGAGAAGAUCAGAGUGGAGGGGAGAAGCAGGGUUGGGGCCUUGAAGGUACUGCUGAGCAUGUGGGUCCUUAUCCUUACCCUGCAUUGCCCGCAGGCCUGACCUUUGCUUCAUUCUUCAUGGCUGCCAAGUGAGAGUGUGGCCCCUGCAGAUGGUUGGAUCAUCCAUCCAGUUCUUUGCUUCCUCUAGCUGAUAUCCUUCUUUGCUGUACUAUAUGGGAAAAGCAAGAAAUAUUUGACACCAAAAUUGCUUCCUUUGUGUGGCCCCGUAUUGCCCUGUAUAGAAGCAUUUCGUCUUCACAACAACUCUAUGAGGGCCUUCAGAGACUGCUCUACCGAAGGAAGUGUCUGAGUCAAUGUGAAACUGGAAAGAAGAGAGAUAUGGUUUGGCUGUGACCCCACUCAAAUCUCAUUUUGAAUUAUAGCUCCUACAAUUCCCAUGUGUCGUGGGAGGGACCCGGUGGGAGGUAAUUGAAUCAUGGGGGCGGGUCAUUCCCAUGCUGUUUUUGUGAUCGUGAGUCUCACAAGAUCUGAUGGUUCUAUAAGAAGGAGCUCCCCCGCACAAGUUUUCUCUUCCCUGCCACCAUGUAGGAUGUGACGUUCCUCCUUCACCUUCCACCAUGAUUGUGAGGCCUCCCUAGCCAUGUGGAACUGUGAGUCCAUUAAACCUCCUUCCUUUAUAAAUUCCCCAGUCUUGGGUAUGUCUUUAUUAGCAGUGUGAAGAUGGACUAAUACAAAGAGGAACUAGGGGAGCUUGGAGGAACCAGAGACUCAAUCAGGGAUUCAAGUGAAGUCUCUGUUGCAAACCCUUGAGCAGGAUGAUCCCACCUGUCGAGACCACAGGCUGUAACUCACUGUCACAAGUUAGUGAUGAACGCGGAACCUUAAUGAAACCGCCAGCGACAGCUGUGCCAUACUGCAAGUCACCACUAGGGGGAAGCAGAAUACAAGCAUCCGG
rnacentral:lncRNA from 10 species